rnacentral:rRNA from 1 species
UGGCUCAGGAUGAACGCUGGCGGCGUGCCUAAUACAUGCAAGUCGAGCGAACAGACGAGGAGCUUGCUCCUCUGACGUUAGCGGCGGACGGGUGAGUAACACGUGGAUAACCUACCUAUAAGACUGGGAUAACUUCGGGAAACCGGAGCUAAUACCGGAUAAUAUAUUGAACCGCAUGGUUCAAUAGUGAAAGACGGUUUUGCUGUCACUUAUAGAUGGAUCCGCGCCGCAUUAGCUAGUUGGUAAGGUAACGGCUUACCAAGGCAACGAUGCGUAGCCGACCUGAGAGGGUGAUCGGCCACACUGGAACUGAGACACGGUCCAGACUCCUACGGGAGGCAGCAGUAGGGAAUCUUCCGCAAUGGGCGAAAGCCUGACGGAGCAMCGCCGCGUGAGUGAUGAAGGUYUUCGGAUCGUAAAACUCUGUUAUUAGGGAAGAACAAAUGUGUAAGUAUACUAUGCACGUCUGACU